UGCCUCAGACAUGCAAGUCGAACGCGAACGUCCCCUUCGGGGGGUGAGUAGAGUGGCGCACGGGUAAGUAACACGUAGGUAAUCUACCUUCGGGUGGGGAAUAACCCAGGGAAACUUGGGCUAACACCGCAUAAUGCAGCGGCACCACAUGGUGACAGUUGUUAAAGCGGGGGAUUUUAGGACCUCGCGCCUGAAGAGGAGCCUGCGGCAGAUUAGCUAGUUGGUAAGGUAACGGCUUACCAAGGCGACGCUCUGUAACCGGCCUGAGAGGGCGGUCGGUCACACUAACGAUGACAUACGGGUCAGACUCCUACGGGAGGCAGCAGUCGGGAAUUUUGGGCAAUGGGCGAAAGCCUGACCCUUCAACGCCGCGUGAAGGAUGAAAUCCCUCGGGAUGUCUCUUC
rnacentral:rRNA from 1 species